GUGUUCACACAGAGUUAGAUAGAGGACUAGAGGUAUGUACUGAUUGUUGCCAUUUAAAGGAUUGUUGUCAUUAUAAAGUAGGUGUCAACUAGGUGCGCAUUUCUGUGAGUUGUAAUUUGGGUAUUACAUGAAACAUUUUUAACGUUAUAUCACUACCAUCUAGUGGCCACUAUAAAUAAGUAACAAGGCUCCGGCACUUAAUGGCCAUGCUAAACCCCCAACAUUCACUUAAACACUUGUUCUCAUAAUCUCACAUAUGAAGGCGAGACCUGUAUCUAACUCUGUGUUCACCCCAUAUCUACCUGUUGUUCUCCUGACGUGUUUUAAAGAGUGUAAUUAUUUAUUGGUCCAGAAGAAGGAACAGCGUGUGAACGGUAGGGGAGGGGCAUUUUCUCCAUAUAGUAUUCUUCGUGUAGGUCAAAGCUAAGGUAUGGUGAAGUUUAUUUUUUUUUAGACAAAGAUGACACCAUUAGUCAUUCGGUGGGUUCCAUAAAACAAGGGGGUGCCGUGUUGACGCGUGCCGCCCAGCUCUCUGACUAAAGUGACAUCCUUGCACUCUUUUCUAGACCUUAACCUGUAGACUCUCCGGGAGUAUUUUUUGUGCUCAUAUCAGUUUUUGUACGCUCACCUUCAGUCUACGGAAGGAUGUCGGGUGUACGCACUCCACCUGUUCUGUUGCAAGGGUAUUUAACAGGUAGGGUCUUAGCGUUCUGAUAGCAAACUUUAGUUUUAGGACUUCUGUUUGGAAUAGUGAUUACACCCCAGACCACUACUGUUCUGACUUUCUCUUGGAUCAUAAGCACCUGAUCCUGCUGCAUUAGAAACAUUUCUGCCAGGGAGCUGGGUGAAUCACGAACAUUUGCUUGUUUACAGGUGACACUCUUCUGAAACAGUCAGUAAGGAAAACAACACCUACACUGUUUGAGUAGACCAGCCUGAUCUCGUGGGCACAAAUUGUUUUCCGUUUGAGUGAACAAAAGUGUGAAAACAGCAAUCGCUUUGGCAUCAUGAGGCUGGCGUGACUGACCUUACUGUUCAGAAACGACCCACAGAUACGAAAACGUGCACAAUCUGUGUUUUUUCAUUAGUGUCAGCAUAAACCCGCCAACAUCUAAAAUGUAACAUAUCUGUUUUGACUUGUCUCCUACAUUCAUUUUUAUGUGAAGGUAACUUUUGUAAGUACUGCAGUCAGUUAGUUACUGCAGGUAUAGAUUUUAAUAAAGUCAAUGUUCUUUUGUUCUACAUGCGCAAGACUGUUUGAAAAGAUUCAGCACCCUAUGACACUUGAUUAACUGCAUUCUGUGCUCUGCGUCAGUUCUAGGAAUGACAACCCAACUGUUUCCAUGGUGCCUAGGAUGGUGACGUCAUAGCUGAGAAUAUACACUGCCUUGCAAACAUAUUCAAGGCUCUGAACAAAUCUACCAUAUCACUGGAUUACAAAUGCUGGGAGACGAACACACACCCACCCACCCUGCAGGAAAGGAGCAGAAGGAUAAAACUUUUCGUCUUUCACACGCACACCCACGUAUUCUGAUGUCUCUUUGUCCUGUGGCUUUUAAUGUCGCUGUAAUAUGGAAGCCUGCAGAGGUUUGUGUGUGUAUGAGUCAUCGGUGGUCCCACCAGCUCUCUUCUCAUCGUCCUGAGCCAAGCCGACACAACAGGGUCACCCUGCACCUCAGGACACACGCCAGAGACCCAGCAUGUGAGAAGAGCUGCUGGCGGAGUAACUGGGAGCUUGUUCACAUGAUCCAGGCUGUCAGCUAGCCCAGUUGUUGCUGCUAGCUCAUCAUCCUAGCAGUUGUGGCUGUUUACCUCACAGUUGGCAGCAGAUUGGGACUGGGAGCUGGCUGGCUAACCGUAAUACAACGUUAGUUCUGAUCAUUUUUAGCAUAUCUUGGUCUCUGAGCUCAACCUUAGGUCCCACUGUCAUACUCACUGAUAUUUUGAACAGGCUUGGCUACUAGCUAGAGUGGACAUGACUUGAGGAACAUCAACGUUAGCGGCCAAACAUUGCGCAAGUAUGACAAAUCAGUAAUUAAAAUAUUCCAAAAAUGACAAAUACAAUUAUAUUUGUGGGGUUCCUAAUUUCAUUAAAUAAACAGAAAAAUGUGUUUGUCAUCAUUUGGCAGCUGCCUCAGACUUUUGGUAUAUAACAUAUUAUAUAGCUAGGCAACCCUAUAUUUAUUUUUACCCAAUUGCCUGGGGCCCCUACACAUAAAUACUAAGUCAAGUAAACCUCCUGUACUUUGGUGAAUAGACUCGCUCACCGCCUAACAUGUCCAUAAAUAAGAAAACACAAACAGAAGACAAUAUGUUGUACUGGACAUAACCCCUAUCCUCACACAGCACAACAUGGCACUUCAGUCAUUCCAAGUUGGCAUUAUCAGGAGUGUAUUGGCCACAUUUGAUUUGAAGCUAAUCAUAUUGCAAGUUGUGGCUAUGAACUGAGCAAUAUUUCUGACAUUAGAUUACAUCCAGUCUAGUCUCAACCAGCCACUUUAUACGUACAAGUUAACCAGCUAUAGCCUACAACACUAAAUUAAAUGUUCCUUCAAAUGGCUAACUAGCUGGCUUCUAUGGUAACGUUAUUUCAUCAGUCAACCAAGUUGUAACAGCCUUCAAAACUUUUGGGGGAAGGUUUCUGGGAAUGUUAUUACCAUUAUUCUAACUCCUUGUGAGAAGCCCUUCUGAUUUACGGUACAUGGUGGUGCUCAAAUAAGAAUGUUAGAAUUGAUUUCCAUUUAACUUAUGAGUUGAAAUUGGAAUUUAAUCACCAAAAUCCAUUUAAAACUAAUCAAUAAGAUAUAUGGACACUACGUCAAAACCAGGAGCUGUUCUUGGAAAUAUACCACAAACCACAAGAAGCCUUAUUUCUAUUAUUAUCCAGUUACCAUGUAAUUAGAACGGUAAAGAGUAAUGUAAUAUCAUACCCGUGAGGUCUCACAUAUUUAAUGGCUUUAAACCAAUCAGCAUUCAGAAUUUGAACCACCUAGUAAGUUUAUGAUUUGCAUUAGAGUUUGUUUGAAAGGAUAAAUAAUAAUGGAAUAUACUGUGGGAUAUUUCUCUUUAAUAUUGCAUGCUGUGUACUGUUUUAACCUUUGUGCUUUGAACAUUUUAUUUCAACCAACCAUUUAAUGUUUGGAAGAGGAUGGAUGGAGGCCUAAAAAAAGGCUAUUUAGCAUGCAAAGCUUGUUGUGCUGUGUGAAGUGGGUGGGACAGCCUAUGGGUUUGGGAGGAUUACAUUAAUUCAUCCAGAUCAUCGGGGGGAUCAUCAUUUGACAGAAUACAGCCUGCGCUGUGGCAAUAUGUUUACUUGUCUUUUAUAGUGCAUACAAUAAUAGUCAGGGAAAAAAGUCAUGUUGAUAGUUAUAGUUAGCAUUUUUUGUAAUGAUUUAUGGACAUAACCUUUUGAAGGGCUGAAUACCUCAGCUGUAGGCUAUAUUGUCGCCAUUUAGCUGAAUACAUUAUUGACCAAAAUUUGUUCCAGCCCUACAUAUGGCUGUAAAUCAAAAUGUAUGUAUAAAUUAAGCACUUAUCAAACUAUUUGGCAAAAAUAAUUAAAUGUGCCCGAAAAAUAUAUCUUUGAAAAUGUGUUUAUGGUGCUGGCCGUGUGCUAACAGAAACCAUAAUGAGAAAUGCAUAGAACGAGUUAUCUAUCCUUGGCUUUUAGAGGCAAUCUGGGUCAACUUGAGGGAGUAAAUGAAUGCAUUUCGGGAAGUGUGAUAUUUUAUAAGAGACCAUUGCACCUUUUUCUUUGCUUUCCA